AGUGAACGCUGGCGGCAGGCCUAACACAUGCAAGUCGAGCGGCAGCGCAGCAGUAGCAAUACUGUGGGUGGCGAGUGGCGGACGGGUGAGGAAUACAUCGGAAUCUACCUUUUCGUGGGGGGAUAACGUAGGGAAACUUACGCUAAUACCGCAUAAGACCUUCGGUGAAAGCCGGGGACCUUCGGGCCUGGCGCGGAUAG
rnacentral:rRNA from 1 species